CCACAAUAUUGAUACUUUUUUUUUCAGCGUCUCAAGAAUCCUUCCUUCUCAGACAACUUUUGCAGCCCACAAGGAAAGACCUGGGUAAUAAGGGCUGGCUAUCAUCUGGGCUACAUAACAGGAAGAGAGCAGUAUCGUUCCAGUCCUCUGGGGAGGAGAACUGCCCUCCGAUGCCAAAGAGAUGUUUCUGCUCAUGGUCAUGGCUCUUCCCAUUACUGAGUGGAGGAGUCAGGGGCCUGGUGUUUGCUUGGAACUCCCACAGGUCCAGCUGACUGGGAGUAGGAGGGUUUUGAUAACCUGUACAUCACUAGUGCGAAGAAUACAGUGGCAGGACUACUGCACUCAUGUAAUCCAGAAGCAAAGACUGCUCCGAGAGUGACAAGCUGGAAGCAGGAGGCCGAUUGACAAGAUGAUUGCCCACUACAGCAUCAGUGUAAAUAUUAAAAUGCUCCAGGAGCAAAUGUUUGAAGUUGAGGUCAAGUGUUUAAAGGCACCAGUCACAGUGGCCCAGAGGGUUUGUACAUCUGGCCAUCUCAUAGAACGCUUCCUAGAUUUUAAAAAAAUCAGAACCGUAGGCUUGUCAUACUCAAUGAAGCCAACUGACAGUGACAGUGUCUCUCUUUGUCUCUCCCCAUUGUGCUAGGCACUGUACAAACACAGAACCCAAAGAUGUCUCCUGCCCCAAACAGUUCACAAUCUACGUAUAGAGACAACAGCCGGGGGGGGACGCAAGGAAACAGUGAGAAAAUACAUUCAGUCAGCAUGAUAAGCAAUGAUCACCGCACAGAUGAUGCUAAAGAAGGAAUAAAAUCCAGCUCCCUUUUCUAUAGCUCUCUUGGUUCUGUAGGGUGAGCAGGGGUAAAGAGCAGUAAAAUGUCCCCAUAGCAGUGAGAUCUGACUCUGAAUGCAGAGGGUGUGGCUCUGUAGAGAAAGGAGGUGCCGGUUUCCAUAGUUGCUUGCAUUGUUCAGAGUACAUAGGGCAGAAUAGAACUGCACUCUAAAUAUUAUUUAGACUGAGAUUAAUAUUGAAUUUUUCUUUUCAUUCCUUUCUGUGUCCACAUUACAGGCACUAGAAUCAAGUUUAUAGCCAUUGCUGGCAGCCUUAGCAGAGAGGCAGAGGCCUGAAUUAACAUGGCAGAGAUGGCCCUUCCAGCUCAGGCCGGCAACUGAGUGAGGGGAAGCAAACAUUGCUGUUGUCCAUGCUGUAGUUGUUCGAUGGCAAGACAGGUCUCUAUUUCCAUUGCAAUGCGUCUAGCAAUGUCCACAAGCAUUACAUUCUCUCUGGCACUCGAACCCACACAGUUAAUUAAAACUGGGCUAUUAAUUUGGGUCAGACAAAACAAGUAUCUCAAAACAGAAUUUAAUUUAGACUUGAGAAGACAGUUACUUAAGUACUAGCUAGCCCAGCAAAUGUUUAGCCCUCUCAAAAGUUGCAGGAUUGAUCACUGUGGAUGCCCUGGUCUUCUUUCCACGCAAUGAAUUCCAAUGAAUCUUGAACAAUGAGCUGUUUGUUUUUCCAAGAUUUUGAUCAUUGAAAGUUUUCAGCCAGUUCUGUAGCUGUUUUUUUCUCCACCAUUGAAAAUCAAAUUUUGAGAGAGAAUUAACUUACAACUUAAGGAAUUGCAGUCCCUAAUUAUUUAAGAUGACAUUGCACCAGGCUGUAUUUCCUUUACUGCUGUAAGUCCAUAGCCAAGGUGACACGGUAAGGAAUUUUUCCGCAAGAUGCUUCAGCACAACAGUUUGAUAUACAACAACCCAUUAAAAGGCCCAUUAUUUAUGGAGGAAAGUUUGCAGUGCAAUUUCUCAUGUUACGUCCAUAUAAAUUAUAUCUGUUUGCAGUUCCUCAGGCCCCUCGGUCCCUGUGUAUAAGUAGGUUUCUUAUGUACAGUUUGCACCAAAGCAUGCACUCCAAACAGAAGGAGUGAGCUGAAACACAGGUGAACAGUAACCUAGAUAGUGACAUUCUUCAGAUGUUUUAUGCAAUCCUGUAGUUUGUCAUUCAAUAACGUGCACUAUAGCAAGUGGCAAAUCCCCUGGGGAUGGCAGAAUGUCACCGCUUAGCUGCUGACUCCAUUAAAAUGACUCGCAAACUGUUAUUCCAUGCAAUGCAAACACAUGUAUUUUGGGUGUAGGGUGGGAAAAUGUACAGAUAUACUUGCUCCUUAAGGACACUCUGGAGCUCACCUUUGGACACUGUUUCAUCUUUAUUUUCUUACAUUUCUGUAUAAAUGGUAGACAUGAAGGGGCUAUAGCUGCUACUGAAGAGAAUGUGUUGCAUUAAGGGCCAUCUAAAGAGGGAGUUGUUUACUCUGCACUACCAUUUGGCUGUCAACACAAUCUAGUCUCAAUUACCUUGCCAUUACAAUCCUUCUGUAACAUUUAUCUAUCUAUAUACUUAUAAAGUCCUCAUCCCCAUAGUAUCCAAGCACCUCUUAAUUAUGAAUGGAUUUAAUUGAAGAAGGGAAGUAUUAUCCUUAAUUUGCAGAUGGGGAAAUGUUACACAUGGUAAAUUAAGUGACUUGCCUAAGGUCUCACAAGAAGUUUGUAGCAGAGUCAGGAAUGGACUCCAGCUCUCUUAAAUCCUAAUCCAAUGCCCUGUCUAUUAAAGCAUCCUCUGAAAACUUCUGUAAGUAAUCAGGAAUGUUCCUUACACAUGGGCAUGAUUGCUGCACAGAGCUCCUUGUACUCUGGCACCUGAUCCAAGCCACAUGAAGUCAAGAAGAAGACUUGCUCUGACUGCAGAUCAGGCCCCUUUCCACCUCAUGUGAGCACAAUUUACCAUCUAGUUUCAUAAUUUAUAUUUUUUCCAUUAGGAAUGCGAGCAGUUAUUAGUAACCUUUUAGACUGUAGCAUGUGCCUGACAUUUUGACAGCUUGUGUGUG